rnacentral:rRNA from 1 species
GACGAACGCUGGCGGCGCGCUUAACACAUGCAAGUCGAACGGAAAGGCCCUGCUUUUGUGGGGUGCUCGAGUGGCGAACGGGUGAGUAACACGUGAGUAACCUGCCCUUGACUUUGGGAUAACUUCAGGAAACUGGGGCUAAUACCGGAUAGGAGCUCCUGCUGCGUGGUGGGGGUUGGAAAGUUUCGGCGGUUGGGGAUGGACUCGCGGCUUAUCAGCUUGUUGGUGGGGUAGUGGCUUACCAAGGCUUUGACGGGUAGCCGGCCUGAGAGGGUGACCGGCCACAUUGGGACUGAGAUACGGCCCAGACUCCUACGGGAGGCAGCAGUGGGGAAUAUUGCACAAUGGGCGGAAGCCUGAUGCAGCAACGCCGCGUGCGGGAUGACGGCCUUCGGGUUGUAAACCGCUUUCGCCUGUGACGAAGCGUGAGUGACGGUAAUGGGUAAAGAAGCACCGGCUAACUACGUG